rnacentral:rRNA from 1 species
AUUGAACGCUGGCGGCAGGCUUAACACUUGCAAGUCGAGCGGAGCGAGGGUGCUUGCACCUGAGCUUAGCGGCGGACGGGUGAGUAAUGCUUAGGAAUCUGCCUAUUAGUGGGGGACAACAUUCCGAAAGGAAUGCUAAUACCGCAUACGCCCUACGGGGGAAAGCAGGGGAUCUUCGGACCUUGCGCUAAUAGAUGAGCCUAAGUCGGAUUAGCUAGUUGGUGGGGUAAAGGCCUACCAAGGCGACGAUCUGUAGCGGGUCUGAGAGGAUGAUCCGGCACACUGGGACUGGGACACGGCCCAGACUCCUGCGGGAGGCAGCAGUGGGGAAUAUUGGACAAUGGGGGGAACCCUGAUCCAGCCUUGCCGCGUGUGUGAAGAAGGCCUUAUAGUUGUAAAGCACUUUAAGCGAGGAGGAGGCUCUUUUGGUUAAUACCCAAGAUGAGUGGACGUUACUCGCAGAAUAAGCACCGGCUAACUCUGUGCCAGCCGCCGCCGUAA